GAUGAAGAACGCAGCGAAAUGCGAUACGUAAUGUGAAUUGCAGAAUUCAGUGAAUCAUCGAGUCUUUGAACGCACAUUGCGCCCCCUGGUAUUCCGGGGGGCAUGCCUGUCCGAGCGUCAUUGCUGCCCUCAAGCACGGCUUGUGUGUUGGGCCUCCGUCCUCCUCCCGGGGGACGGGCCCGAAAGGCAGCGGCGGCACCGCGUCCGGCCCUCGAGCGCAUGGGGCUUCGUCACCCGCUCUUGUAGGCCCGGCCGGCGCUUGCCGACACAUCAAUCUUUUUUCCAGGUUGACCUCGGAUCAGGUAGGGAUACCCGCUGAACUUAAGCAUAUCAAUAAGCGGAGGA
rnacentral:misc_RNA from 1 species